rnacentral:piRNA from 1 species
UCCUUUUCUGGGCUGCUUUUGCCACAGCU